rnacentral:snRNA from 1 species
AUUGCUUCUCGGCCUUUUGGCUAAGAUCAAGUAUAGUAUCUGUUCUUAUCAGUUUAAUAUCUGAUACGUCCUCCAUCCGAGGACAAUAUAUUUAUUUUAAAGAUUUUAU